rnacentral:lncRNA from 1 species
GGAGGAACAGAAUCGCAUUUUGGAGAUAAAAUGAACUUGAUGUGUGGGAUGGUGGAGAUCAUUUGAAUGUUUUCAAUGUGAAUAACUAAAAUGCUGCUGAUAUAAUUUACUCUGAUUUAGCAAAUACAUUAGAAAAGAAGAAGAUUUGAGAAAAUACUUGGCAGUUCUGUUUUGAAUACAUUACUAUAUUGCAGGUCACAUAUAUAGAUACUCUAUAAGUAAUUUUCAAAAGC